rnacentral:rRNA from 2 species
GGGUUGUGAGGUUAAGCGACUAAGCGUACACGGUGGAUGCCCUGGCAGUCAGAGGCGAUGAAGGNCGUGCUAAUCUGCGAUAAGCGCCGGUAAGGUGAUAUGAACCGUUAUAACCGGCGAUUNCCGAAUGGGGAAACCCAGUGUGAUUCGUCACACUAUCAUUAACUGAAUCCAUAGGUUAAUGAGGCGAACCGGGGGAACUGAAACAUCUAAGUACCCCGAGGAAAAGAAAUCAACCGAGAUUCCCCCAGUAGCGGCGAGCGAACGGGGAGGAGCCCAGAGCCUGAAUCAGCAUGUGUGUUAGUGGAAGCGUCUGGAAAGGCGCGCGAUACAGGGUGACAGCCCCGUACACAAAAGCGCAUGUGCUGUGAGCUCGAUGAGUAGGGCGGGACACGUGGUAUCCUGUCUGAAUAUGGGGGGACCAUCCUCCAAGGCUAAAUACUCCUGACUGACCGAUAGUGAACCAGUACCGUGAGGGAAAGGCGAAAAGAACCCCGGCGAGGGGAGUGAAAAAGAACCUGAAACCGUGUACGUACAAGCAGUGGGAGC